UAAGACCUAUAGGUAGUUUUUCCUACAUUCAGGUAGGGCUGGAAAGCGAGUAAAGAGUCACCCUUUGAAUUCGCGUAAGGAAGCUAUUCGUCACCACGAUUGAUUACUAUGCCUCCCGGCCCCAUGGCCUCUUAGCGCUAUUCCUUUAUUUAUAAUAAAGGAAGACUUUUGUAAGCAGACCUUGAGAUAAACCGAGUCAGUGGUGGGGCAUCUUCCUGCCAUGAAGUGAAAGGUCGAGAAAAGGAAAGAUUGAAAAGCAAGAAGGGGGAAGUUCCUGAGCUCUCUUUUUAAGGUGUGAAGCGAUCUCGUACUAAACUCCGGUUCGGUAAGCCGAAGCCUAUAUCGCUAAUGCCAAAGAAGCCCAAUCACGCUAGCGUGGUUUUCAACCUCCGCCUUCGCUUCGGGUGGUAACUAGGGUUGGCGUACGUACGAUAAAGCUGGGAGACUUUUUACACACCGUGUUAAAAAAGGAUGUUUUUCUUUUUGUACAACCCUGGGAUAAGUUUCAUCCAGCUCUAGCGCCUAUAGCCUAAAGGAAAGGGCUUGGUCUUAACUGACCUCAAAGUGCUUCUUCCGGGCCCUAACAUUCCAUGUUGCUAGAUUCAUUGAUUGGAUUGACCGUAGUUGCGCCCCAUUCCCGGGCUUCCUCGUUUUCUAACUGUCCUAGUCUUUCAUCGAAGAGGAGGGUCGAUGUUAAUUGAGAUGGCAUUGAAUAAUCAUCUAUCGUAGGAGCUCUCACUCAGCCUGUCAGCUCCACCAGCAGCCGCUGCUGUGCUUGAGUGCAUUAGUUUUGUGUCGUCGAUUACUGAAUUGAUUUUACUGCAUUACCGGACCCGUCUUACCUUUCCUUUUUUGCCAAUGCCCGGGAGAAUUGGACAAAUUGAACUAAAGGACCGAUGGGACAUCUCCGAAGAUGAGGAAGAGGAGCG
rnacentral:lncRNA from 1 species